UACGUAGGGUGCGAGCGUUAAUCGGAAUUACUGGGCGUAAAGCGUGCGCAGGCGGUUCGUUGUGUCGGUGGUGAAAGCCCCGGGCUCAACCUGGGAAUGGCCAUGGAAACUGGCGAACUGGAGUGUGGCAGAGGGGGGUGGAAUUCCGCGUGUAGCAGUGAAAUGCGUAGAGAUGCGGAGGAACACCGAUGGCGAAGGCAGCCCCCCUGGGCUAGCAC
rnacentral:rRNA from 1 species